CACGUAGGGUGCAAGCGUUGUCCGGAAUCAUUGGGCGUAAAGAGCUCGUAGGCGGCUUAGUAAGUCGGGUGUGAAAACCCCAGGCUCAACCUGGGGACGCCACCCGAUACUGCUAUAGCUAGAGUCCAGUAGGGGAGUGUGGAAUUCCCAGUGUAGCGGUGAAAUGCGCAGAUAUUGGGAGGAACACCAGCGGCGAAGGCGGCACUCUGGGCUGGUACUGACGCUGAGGCGCGAAAGCGUGGGGAGCAAACAGG
rnacentral:rRNA from 1 species